rfam:Pterocles gutturalis contig70402, whole genome shotgun sequence.
AGAAACUUGGCAUAAACCUUAAACCGAAGGCCUUCAAAGUCUUAAAUAAGAGUUAAACCCUCUUAGUUUCUG